rnacentral:rRNA from 1 species
GUGGGGAAUAUUGGACAAUGGGGGGAACCCUGAUCCAGCCAUGCCGCGUGUGUGAAGAGGGCCUUUUGGUUGUAAAGCACUUUAAGCGAGGAGGAGGCUACUAGUAUUAAUACUACUGGAUAGUGGACGUUACUCGCAGAAUAAGCACCGGCUAACUCUGUGCCAGCAGCCGCGGUAAUACAGAGGGUGCGAGCGUUAAUCGGAUUUACUGGGCGUAAAGCGUGCGUAGGCGGCUGAUUAAGUCGGAUGUGAAAUCACUGAGCUUAACUUAGGAAUUGCAUUCGAUACUGGUCAGCUAGAGUAUGGGAGAGGAUGGUAGAAUUCCAGGUGUAGCGGUGAAAUGCGUAGAGAUCUGGAGGAAUACCGAUGGCGAAGGCAGCCAUCUGGCCUAAUACUGACGCUGAGGUACGAAAGCAUGGGGAGCAAACAGGAUUAGAAACCCCGGUAGUCC